GAUCUUGGUGGUAGUAGCAAAUACUCGAGAGGGGCCCUCGGGGGCUGCCGUGGAGAAGGGUUUCUUGUGAACAGCCGUUGUCCAAGAGUCAGUCGAUCCUAAGCCCGGGGAGAGAUCCUCGUACCACGGGCGAAGGCGUUUUCGAAUCGCCCAUGGGGCGAGAGGGAAUCCGGUCCGUAUUCCGGAACCCGACGCGGAACCGCUCCCUAGUGUUCGGGGCUCUUUUGUCUCGUCCGGGCGACCGGAAUGAACUCGAAGAAGCCGCCGGGGGGUCCGGGAAGAGUUCUCUUUUCUCUGUGAGCGUUGUACGUCCCUGGAAUCCUCUAGCCGGGCGAUAGGGACGCGAGCGCGAAGAGCACCGCUCGUUGCGGCGGUGUCCGUGACCCCCACGCGGACCUUGAAAAUUCGAGAGAGGGCCACGCGGAGUCUUCGCGUCGGUUCGUACCGAUAUCCGC
rnacentral:rRNA from 1 species